rnacentral:rRNA from 1 species
CAGCCGUAAACGAUGUGCGUUAGGUGUAUCGACGACCACGAGUCGUCGAGGUGCCGAAGGGAAACCGUGAAACGUACCGCCUGGGAAGUACGGUCGCAAGGCUGAAACUUAAAGGAAUUGGCGGGGGAGCACCACAACAGGUGGAGCCUGCGGUUUAAUUGGAUUCAACGCCGGACAUCUCACCGGAUAAGACAGCUGAAUGAUUGUCAAUCUGAAGGUUUUACAUGACUAGCUGAGAGGUGGUGCAUGGCGUCAGUGACU